rnacentral:rRNA from 1 species
AACUGUGGGGACGCAGAAGGAGAGCACUACCUGGAAUGGAAUCCAGGGGCAAGCACAGGAGGGGUACGGCUGGAAAAACCGCCGUGCAACCCAAAGGUGUGACGCAUACCGAACUAAAGUAGGGAAAUGUGUGAGCCGGCUGCCGAGAAAAGCCGCUAUUGUUUGUACUGUACCCGUACCGUAAACCGACACAGGUGGAUGAGGAGAGAAUCCUAAGGCCGACGGAAGAAGCAUUGCUAAGGAACUCGGCAAAAUGACCCUGUAACUUCGGGAGAAAGGGUGCCUCGAAAGAGGCCGCAGAGAAUAGGCCCAAGCAACUGUUUAGCAAAAACACAGGUCUAUGCAAAACCGCAAGGUGAAGUAUAUGGGCUGACGCCUCCCCGGUGCUGGAAGGUUAAGGGGAGAUGUCAGGAGACGAAGCAUCGAACUUAAGCCCCAGUAAACGGCGGCCGUAACAAUAACGGUCCUAAGGUAGCGAAAUUCCUUGUCGGGUAAGUUCCGACCCGCACGAAAGGCGUAAUGAUUUGGGCGCUGUCUCGGCAAUGCAUCCGGUGAAAUUGAAGUGCCAGUGAAGAUGCUGGCUACCCGCGCCAGGACGGAAAGACCCCAUGGAGCUUUACUCCAGCUUGAUACUGGGAUUCGGUAUUGUAUGUACAGGAUAGGUGGGAGGCUGAGAAAUGGUGACGCCAGUCGCCAUGGAGCCGCUGUUGGGAUACCACCCUUGCAGUACUGGAUUUCUAACCAGCAGCCGUGAUCCGGCUGGGGGACAAUGUCAGGUGGGGAGUUUGACUGGGGCGGUCGCCUCCGAAAGGGUAUCGGAGGCGCUCAAAGGUUCCCUCAGAAUGGUCGGAAACCAUUCGAAGAGUGCAAAGGCAGAAGGGAGCUUGACUGCGACACCGACGGGUGGGGCAGGUACGAAAGUAGGACUUAGUGAUCCGGUGGUAUUAAGUGGGAAUGCCAUCGCUCAACGGAUAAAAGCUACCCUGGGAUAACAGGCUUAUCACUCCCAAGAGUUCACAUCGACGGAGUGGUUUGGCACCUCGAUGUCGGCUCAUCGCAUCCUGGGGCUGUAGUAGGUCCCAAGGGUUGGGCUGUUCGCCCAUUAAAGCGGUACGCGAGCUGGGUUCAGAACGUCGUGAGACAGUUCGGUCCCUAUCCGGCGUGGGCGUAGGAUAUUUGAGAGGAGCUGACCUUAGUACGAGAGGACCGGGUUGGACUGACCUCUGGUGCACCGGUUGUCAUGCCAAUGGCACAGCCGGGUAGCCAAGUCGGGAAGGGAUAAACGCUGAAGGCAUCUAAGCGUGAAGCCCCCCUCAAGAUGAGAUAUCCCCCGCAUAAGCGGUAAGACCCUUUGAAGACGACGAGGUAGAUAGGGCAGAGGUGGAAGUGCAGUAAUGUAUGGAGCUGACUGCUACUAAUAGGUCGAAGGCUUG